rnacentral:rRNA from 1 species
UACGUAGGGUGCGAGCGUUAAUCGGAAUUACUGGGCGUAAAGCGUGCGCAGGCGGUUUUGUAAGCCAGAUGUGAAAUCCCCGGGCUUAACCUGGGAAAUGGCAUUUGGGACUGCAAGGCUCGAGUGCGGCAGAGGAGACUGGAAUUCCUGGUGUAGCAGUGAAAUGCGGUAGAUAAUCGAGAGGAACACCUGCGGCGAAGGCGGGGUUGCUGGGCUGAUACUGACGCUGGAGGCGCGAAAGCCAGGGAGCGAACGGG